GAUUCAAUCCCCUGCCCCCGCCCCCCCCCCACCAACCAGUGUUACACAAACCCACGGGAAACUACCUCUGGAACCGAACCGCCGGGCUGGGCCUCGAAGCGCCGGGAUCCCUCUUGCUGGGACCGCUUGGCUCAGAGCCUGUUGUAAAGAGACAUUGAUUGAAAUGGCAAAUCUAUUUAUGUAUAAAAGAUAACAAUCCGGAAACAGAGCCAGAAAUACGGCUGUGUCGGGGUGGGGCGAGAGGAGACGCCUGCCCGGGCACUGGCCUCGGACCAUGGCAUCGAACCGCUCCGGUGAGGUCUCUCCUCAGCCUUGGGAGCGGCAGCUGGGCCGCGGAGAGGUGGGAGCUGGCCCCUGUGCGCUGAGAAGAGACACGGGACCCACCGGACCGAGAGACAGAGCCGGGGAACCCGGCGUCGGAGAGAGCUGGGAGGCGGCGGGGUGAGGAGCGGGCAGUGGCUCAGCGCGGGAUGGCAUCUCAGCUCCAGCGCUGGGCACGCGGCCCCAGCAGGAGCCCGUUAGUCUGUGCAGAACGAAGAGUCGUCGCAGUGGUCCGGAAGGGGCUGGCUCUGAUGCAGGGCCCUGAGCUGCAGUGCCUGAGGGAUGCCGGCUUUCAACACAGCCUGACCUGGUGGGGAGAGCUGUGCCUGGCCCCUCCAUCUGCUGGAGAACCUAGCAAUGCCAGGCUGCAGCCAGGUCGCAGGGCAGGGGGUGGGGAGAGAGUCACGGCGGAGUGAGUGCGUAUGGGGGUCACUGCAGCGUGGGGGUCGAGUUGUGCAUGUGAGGGUCAUUGCAGCGUGGGGGUGGAGUGGUACGUGUGGGGGUCAUUGCAGCGUGGGGGUGGAGUGGUACGUGUGGGGGUCAUUGCAGCGUGGGGGUGGAGUGGUACGUGUGGGGGUCACUGCAGCGUGGGGGUGGAGUUGUGCAUGUGAGGGUCAUUGCAGCGUGGGGGUGGAGUGGUACGUGUGGGGGUCACUGCAGCGUGGGGGUGGAGUGGUGCGUGUGGGGGUCACUGCAGCGUGGGGGUGGAGUGGUACGUGUGGGGGUCAUUGCAGCGUGGGGGUGGAGUGGUACGUGUGGGGGUCACUGCAGCGUGGGGGUGGAGUUGUGCAUGUGAGGGUCAUUGCAGCGUGGGGGUGGAGUG
rnacentral:lncRNA from 1 species